GCCCUUCCUACGGGAGGCAGCAGUGAGGAAUAUUGCGCAAUGGGCGAAAGCCUGACGCAGCGACGCCGCGUGGGGGAUGAAGGUUUUCGGAUUGUAAACCCCUUUCAUGAGGAAAGAUAAAGUGGGUAACCACUUAGACGGUACCUCAAGAAGAAGCCACGGCUAACUUCGUGCCAGCAGCCGCGGUAA
rnacentral:rRNA from 1 species